GAGUAAAGGUACCCUUCUUGGCUGAUCCCUUUCGCUUUGUGGCGUGCUCGGUUGGGUUGGGCGCCGGCUAAGAGUGCUCGGAGCGUGGAUUAACUCCAGUCUCCAAUCAGGUAAUUUCCAGCCUUAGACGGAUCGGAGCUGCGAGGGGCUCGGAGGAACUCACACACAUUGUUUAUCUUACAGUUUUGAUUAUUACUUUUAAAUGUUUUUAUGUGGGUUGUAGUAAAGCCGUUGUAAUUUUCUGAAUUUCAAAUUUGGAAUUUUAUUUAUUGUUCUUAUAAUUGCUAGUGUUAGAACACGGUUUUCCAAAGCAACUACUGUUGUUCAAAA